GUGAUGGCUCAGUGGUUAAGAGCACUUGUUCCUAUUGCAGAGGAUCUGGGUUCAAUUCCCAGUACCCACA
rnacentral:tRNA from 1 species